UUUCCCCUUCUUCCCGUGCCUUUGUGUGCGACUGCCGGUGACAGGUGUCGCCGAUUCUUGGUCGAAAAAGAGACCCAUGUUUUGGCCUCUUUUCCUUGGAUUUUUCGAUGCCAGCAAUUGUAAUCGACCAUCCGCCAUGCCUCACCGUAACCGGGGAGUGGCCCCCCUCUACUGCCAGCCUCCACCGUGGCGGCCGCGGCCUGAACGGCCCGACCAAGGA
rnacentral:lncRNA from 1 species